rnacentral:rRNA from 1 species
UACGGAAGAUGCGAGCGUUAUCCGGAUUUAUUGGGUUUAAAGGGUGCGUAGGCGGAUCGUUAAGUCAGUGGUCAAAUUGAGGGGCUCAACCCCUUCCCGCCAUUGAAACUGGCGAUCUUAAGUGGAAGAGAAGUAUGCGGAAUGCGUGGUGUAGCGGUGAAAUGCAUAGAUAUCACGCAGAACCCCGAUUGCGAAGGCAGCAUGCCGGCUUCCUACUGACGCUGAAGCACGAAAGCGUGGGGAGCAAACAGG